rnacentral:rRNA from 1 species
UACGUAGGGUGCAAGCGUUAAUCGGAAUUACUGGGCGUAAAGCGUGCGCAGGCGGUUCGCUAAGACAGAUGUGAAAUCCCCGGGCUUAACCUGGGAACUGCAUUUGUGACUGCAUGGCUAGAGUUUGGCAGAGGGGGGUAGAAUUCCACGUGUAGCAGUGAAAUGCGUAGAUAUGUGGAGGAACACCGAUGGCGAAGGCAGCCCCCUGGGUCAAGACUGACGCUCAUGCACGAAAGCGUGGGGAGCAAACAGG